rnacentral:lncRNA from 1 species
CAAAGUCCUUGCAGCAAGAGAACUUCUGUUUGGCCAUGGGCAAUGUGGACAACCCGUUGUCCACAUGCCUGGUGGGGGUCCCUCUGGUAGCCGACGAUUGGCCGGUUUCCAACUCAGACCUGCUCCGAACCACGGGCAGGAGACCUAACCCGGUCGACACUUGGGACGCGUGGACGAAAAUAUUGCCAAAUUCAAAAGAGGAGCCCCAAGAAUUGGAUCUGUUGGGGUCCUCUCCUGCCACUUACUGUGUAAAGUUUUAUUUUAAGAGGCCAAGUCAGAAUUGGCAUGGGAUUGACUUGGCCAAAAACACCUACAGAAAAGAUGUUACGCCAUUGAACAAAAAAUACAAUUCAGCUAGCUGGUGUAACUAUACAAGUCCAAUUAUCUCUGUUUCCUCCAUUCAUCCCAAGUCGUUGCCCCGGGGGAUGUUUCUUGUCUGUGGGGACAGAGUAUGGUCAGGCAUCCCAUCUCGGCUCCAGGGAGGACCGUGUAGCCUUGGCAAGCUUACUACCCUCACUCCAAAUAAAACCCAAAUUAUGGAUUGGAAGAAAGAGAGACAAUUGGCCAGACGAAAAAGAUCAUACGACCAAUUUGAUCAAAAUUGCGAUGACAAAAUUUACAAUUGGGGAAAAACAAAGAGGGUUGCCGCUUCCAUUUUUCUACCGUGGUAUGCGGUUGCUAAAGCCGUCGGUGAGCUUUCUCACCUGGAGUGCUGGAUAGCGAAGCAUGCCAACGCAUCGUCUGCCGCCCUUUCCGAUCUCUUGGCGGAUGAACAGACCACCAGGCAGGCCACCCUCCAAAAUCGGGCGUCAAUAGACUUUCUGCUGUUAGCCCAUGGCCACAGCUGUGAGGACUUUGAAGGACUGUGCUGUUUCAACUUGACAUCGAGAAGCAAAUCUAUUCAAGCCAGCAUCCAGCAGAUCCAGACACAAGUACAGCACCUACAAACUGAGACUUCGGCUGUGGACCCUGCAACCAAGUUGCUAUCUGAAUGGGGCGUCCCGGGAUGGGCAGCCUCGAUUAUUAGAGGACUUUUAUGGAUUUUAGUUAUCGUUCUUAUUAUUUUUAUUGCUUUAGUGAUCUUUAAGAAGAUGUUAGUUAAAACUCUAGGGAAUGUUUAUUUAAUUAAUAAAGAAGGGGGAGAUGCGGUAGGGGACUUGGGAAAAGCCCCCCCGAAUAUGCCUUGGGAGGAGGCUGUUGUAUAAAUUCCUGCCUCCAAGCUGCCCAUUGAAUCUACCACUCCCCUUAUGUUAUGUAACUGUCAGUUAUGUCCAUCUUUAUGUCAAUCAUUUUUGUACUUGCCUUUAGUUCCAGAAUGUUCCUAAGUUCUCUGUCUGUAAUUGGCUCUUCCCCGGUUAUCGCCCCCUUCCCUCAUCCCCAUUUGCUGUACCCCAAUUAUUCCAUCCCAACUCCUCCUCCGAACCCCAUUCCUACUGGACCCUUUGUACCCUGUCCCUCCUAUUUGCCACCUGUUAUAAGCCCCACCCCGCCCCUUAUUCGGGGCUCUCGGAGCCUGCUCCCUUGCUGAGCGGACGGGUCGCGGAUCCUCCCUGACACCCAGCC